UACGUAGGGGGCUAGCGUUGUCCGGAAUCAUUGGGCGUAAAGAGCGUGUAGGCGGCUCGGUAAGUCCGCUCUGAAAGCCCGGGGCUCAACCCCGGGAGGCGGGCGGAUACUGUCGGGCUAGAGUCCGGAAGAGGCGAGUGGAAUUCCUGGUGUAGCGGUGGAAUGCGUAGAGAUCGGGAAGAACAUCGGUGGCGAAGGCGGUCUGCUGGGCCGUUGCUGACGCUGAGGCGCGACAGCGUGGGGAGCAAACAGG
rnacentral:rRNA from 1 species